CGUGAGAGCCCUGCAAAAGACUGGUGAGAGUUCCCCUGGUGGCCUCCUUUGGCAAUCUCAGGUCUCUGUAAGCUCUCAAGCUGUGUCGUAAGUCCUCCCGUGGUGCUGACUCAGCUCUCCCUGUCUUUGGUGUAGGAGAGCUGGACUUCAGCUCCUUCCUGUUUCCUGCCUAUCUGCUCCCUGCUUUGCCCGUGGCCCAGUGAGCCUUUUAUUCUUCACCCCCGGACUUGCACGUGUGGAUAACAGCAUCUGCUUAUGUGCGCUUCUUUUCUGCUUGUGGUGUCAGGCUGAGCGACAGCUCCCAGCCGAGCUUGUGCUUAGCGAGACACAGAGUAGCUGGAGAUGGAGUUCUCUGUGUCACUAAAGCAUGAGCUUGAUGGCUGCCGUGAGCCAAAGUGAGAGAGUUUCUGUGUUUGAUUUCUGUGUUGGGCUGAGCGGGUAGAGCAGGGCAAGGGGGCUGAUUUGGACGUGCUGCUUUCCAAAUACGGUGCUGUUUGUGUGGCAAUGCUUCUGACAUUCCAAAUUGUGUCAGAUGUCACUGAAUUCCUUGGAAUCUGCUGAGUUGACUUGUGCAGGUUUCAUUCUGGAGCUGAACCCUUCCUGGCCGCUUCUGUGCAUAGCCAUGGCUGUUGCUUCUUUCUUGCCUCCUUUCUUUGUUGUGUUUGGCACUGUGCAAGCCGUGAAUUGCCAGGGAGCAGCUGAAAGUGCUCUGGAGUUGUGGGGGACAAACUGCCAAGAAACAAGGUGCAGCUUCAAAGCCCCGAAGUUUGGAGAGAUGAGAGAUGCACAGCGCUCUGCCUGGUGCAGGACAUGAUGUGCUCUGCAAGGCGCUUUCCACAAAGCCCUCACGUCCUUUCUCAAACUGCAUCCAAAGCAACCCAGUGCCCUGUGCUUGUUGUACCCGGAGGUAUCGGUGCCAGGAGUUGCUGCUGUGUUUGCAAUGCCAUUGUGUCGGCAGGGUGACGUUAAUGGGCUGCAAUGCCCUCAGUCAUUCAAAGCAUCCUUGCAGAUGUUCCUAGUGAGGGGCAUGUUUCAUGGACACCAUAGGUUGUUUCCUGGAAAAUGAAAGAGUGGGCUUGCGUACCUCCAGAUGGUUUUCAUUUCCUGCUGAGCCCAGUGCACUUCACGUCUGCUGCCAUUGCCCCACGGCCCUGUUGUGGUUUAAGCCGGUGGGUGGCUCAGCACCACACAGUCCUUUGCUUACUCCCCCCUUCCCAGUGGGAUGGGGGAGAGAAUUAUGGGGGGGAAAAAAAAGAAGGUGGAACUAAUGCGUUGAGAGAAAUCUCUUUCCAAAGGUAGAGAAAAGGAAGGACCGAAGUAAUAUAUAUGUCUAUUUACGAAUGUAUGUAACAAGUGAUGUAGAAGCGG
ensembl:lncRNA